GACCGAACGCUGGCGGCAUGCCUAACACAUGCAAGUCGAACGAGACCUUCGGGUCUCGUGGCGCACGGGUGCGUAACGCGUGGGAACCCGCCCUUAGGUUCGGAAUAACUCCCCGAAAGGGGUGCUAAUACCGGAUAAUGUCUUCGGACCAAAGAUUUAUCGCCUUUGGAUGGGCCCGCGUUGGAUUAGCUAGUUGGUAGGGUAAAAGCCUACCAAGGCGACGAUCCAUAGCUGGUCUGAGAGGAUGAUCAGCCACACUGGGACUGAGACACGGCCCAGACUCCUACGGGAGGCAGCAGUGGGGAAUAUUGGACAAUGGGCGAAAGCCUGAUCCAGCAAUGCCGCGUGAGUGAUGAAGGCCUUAGGGUUGUAAAGCUCUUUUACCCGGGAUGAUAAUGACAGUACCGGGAGAAUAAGCUCCGGCUAACUCCGUG
rnacentral:rRNA from 1 species